ensembl:lncRNA BETALINC1 Beta cell long intergenic noncoding RNA 1
GGAGUUGUCUGUGGCCAGAUGUUGAGCACACCUUUUCUCUUGGUCCACGUCUGCAGAACUGGAAGGUCAUUUGUAUGCAGGGCCAAGGUUUUUACUUGGAAAAGAAACCGCACACUUCGAAUCACAGAAGUGUUUACAUAGGGCAGGCUGGAGGGGACGAGAGAGACCUUGGUUGAUGGUGACUCAGUUCAUAAACACAGCAUCAAUAUUGAUAGACUCCAAAAGAUGCAUAUGCAGGACAUCUCUCGGGAUUUGCAGGGACCGACUGUUCAGAGAGAAGAAGUUGCUCAUUGCCAACUCUGAGGUGCAGUGGCAGUUCUCUUCAACAGGGGCCUGUUUUCCAGAAUCCAAAGAAGGGUAUAAGUACAGCAUCUUGCAAGUCAUGCAGCAAAACAGCACAAAAGGGACUAAGACACGCUCAUUCCUGCUUGUUACUACAGCAUGGCUCCUACGAAGAGCGCCAAAACCUGCAGGGAAGUUGUGCUUUGGAUGAACCUCUUACUUCUUGGGCAUGGAAGUCCUUUCACCAAGAACAGAGACAGCCCUUGCCAAAUCUAAACUCACCGGGCCUAUGUUAUUUCAGGUGAAAACACUGUGUUUGUUCCAGGCACAAACACAUACAGGUGACUCAUCAGGUUCUAAGAUGGAACAUAAUGACACAAGAGUACCAGGCACAAAACCAUGCUCUCAAGCCACUCAGAAGGCACUUUAGAUGAUGAAAACCAAACAGAAGCUGAGUGACCAACCUCCCCACCCCCAUCACACUCAGCAGGCUGAGCAGAGUCACAGAACACACACACCUGGGUGGAACAGAUGGCACCCCGGUGCUAUUGUUAUUUUACAGUCUGGCUGAAUGGCAAGCUGAACUGUCAAGGACAAUAUGUAGACUAUUGCAGUUAAACAGGGGAUUGUGUCUCCCAAGAAAGGAUUCCACCAUCUCGGUGGAGUUAAGUAUAGCUUCUCCACACAGGGGAAGUGAGGACAGCUGAGAUUUUCCAGGAGAAGUGAUUUAGAUUAUAUAAAGACCCUUAAUGAAUUAUUUCCAGGCAUUGUCUGCAGUGUCAUAUUGCUUGAGCUUUCCGUUAGCAGCUUCCUGGAAAAGAACUUCUGCUUGUCUGGGUCUUGAGUUUCUGUUGCUUACAGCAGCCAGAGUUGCCAUCUGUGCACAUAUAGAGCAUAUAUUUUAAAUUUUGACAUUUCCAAAAUAUGACUGUUUUGUAAAAUUAUUUGGAUAAAAUAUGUCUGAUGGGAAAGCACACAGCCUGUGUGUGAGAACUUGGGAAGCAAACUGACGAGAGGCUCCUGGCAGGUUGUAUUAAUUCUUAACAUGCAAAACAGCCACAUGUUGGAAGCUAAUACUGGAGCAAGGCUGAAAUCUAUUAUUAUUUCAGAGUAUUAGCAUUGUUUGGUGUAGAAUAACUUAACCGUAAUGACACAUUGAGAAAUCAAUAUGACACGAGAGCCAGUGCGCAUUUUCUUAAAGAUGAACUGGCUGAUGGUUUUAGCAAUGUUUUAACAGAAGGAAUAAGCAAAUUUCAAAAGUAAAUGAAUCCGAAGCUGAUAAGCAAGUAAUACAUUUGUAGUACAUGAAUGAUUUUGUUUGAGUUUGCGAUUAUCACCAUAUUGCUCUAGAAAUAUAUAGUACGGCCUUUUACUUUGUGUUCCAAUUACUCCACAUGUCCUAUAGUUGUAUGCAUUUUAUAUAUUUGUCAUUCAUAAGCAAGGAACUCAAAUUUUCUGUUCU